CCUAGUAACGGCGAGUGAAAGGAGAUUAGCCCAGCACCGAAGUUCAUCUAUGCUUUUAGAUAGAACAAUGUGGUGUUAAGGUAUGCACGAUUUUCUAUUUAUCAACUCGAAGUCCAGCUCCGAUUAUGGCUAGACAUUUGUUCCAAAGAGGGUGAAAGGCCCGUUCGAGUUGAUAGACUAGUUAAUAAUGUGCAUGCCCUCGAGUCGGAUUGCUUGAGAAUGCAGUCCAAAUUGGGUGGUAAACUCCAUCUAAGGCUAAAUACUGGCACGAGUCCGAUAGUAAACAAGUACCGCGAGGGAAAGUUGAAAAGUACUCUGAAGAGAGAGUAAAUAGUACGUGAAACCGACUGAAUGGAAGCUGGUGGAGUCAAGCUUUUGUAUAGAGAAUUGGCACGGGGAAAUUUUUAGUGGAUGUUUAACAGAAUUGUAUUAAAAUUGCUCGCUGGCUAGCUAGAAUGAGCAUUCCGUUGGGAAUGUUCGCUUCUGUUAAUUAUUCCAUUCUCUUGUGCUAUUUUGCUAUGCAUUAGCCAUAGUCGAUGUACUCGUAAUAUGUGAUGGUCUAAUCGUGAUUUGGGAUACCUUGUGUCAUUCAUUUCACGGGACGGCAGGUAAUGGUUUUAAUGACUUGUCAUUUAAACUAUGUUAUUUGGUAAUUACUUGCUGACUAUCGUGUCUUCUAACAUAUUGAGUAUAUUGUUUAUUCGUGGUAAAUAUCGUAAAUGAUAUUAUCGCUUUAGCUAUGGCUAGGAGUAGAUUUUCCACCCGACCCGUCUUGAAACACGGACCAAGGAGUUUAACAUGUACGCAAGUCGCCGGGUUCUAAACCCAGUGGCAUAAUGAAAGUAAACGAUCUCUAAUCGAGAUCUAAGGUGUUAUCCUGGCGUAUCUUGUAUAAGUGCGUUAGUUGCAGCACCGGCCCGUUCCAUAAUGUAGUAUGUCUAGCCUCGGUUGGUGUGCGUCAUUGUGGCGGAGCAAGAGCGUACAUGUUGAGACCCGAAAGAUGGUGAACUAUGCUUGCGUAGGUUGAAGCCAGAGGAAACUCUGGUGGAGGACCGUCGCGGUUUUGACGUGCAAAUCGAUCGUCAAACGUGAGCAUAGGGGCGAAAGACUAAUCGAACCAUCUAGUAGCUGGUUCCCUCCGAAGUUUCCCUCAGGAUAGCUUGCACUCGAAAGAGACAGUUUCAUCCGGUAAAGCGAAUGAUUAGAGGUAUUGGGGACUACACGUCCUCAACCUAUUCUCAAACUAUAAAUGGGUACGAUGCAUAACUCGCUUAGUUGGAGUUUUGCAUUGAAUGCGAGUGCCAAGUGGGCCAUUUUUGGUAAGCAGAACUGGCGCUGUGGGAUGCUCCGAACGUCAGGAUAAGGUGCCAAAUAUUAACGCUCAUGAGACACCACAAAAGGUGUUAAUGCAUAUAGACAGCAGGACGGUGGCC
rnacentral:rRNA from 1 species